UACGAAGGGGGCUAGCGUUGCUCGGAUUUACUGGGCGUAAAGGGCGCGUAGGCGGAUGUUUAAGUCGGGGGUGAAAGCCCGGGGCUCAACCUCGGAAUUGCCUUCGAUACUGGACAUCUUGAGUACGGGAGAGGUGAGUGGAACUCCGAGUGUAGAGGUGAAAUUCGUAGAUAUUCGGAAGAACACCAGUGGCGAAGGCGACUCACUGGCCCGUAACUGACGCUGAGGCGCGAAAGCGUGGGGAGCAAACAGG
rnacentral:rRNA from 1 species